AAAAAAAACCCAAUCCUGUAAAUUAUUUCAAAUUAUUAGUUCAGUUGUCAGUCAAUUGCUUUGGAUAAUGGAAAUCCAUGGUCACCUGGAUUCCAAACAUGUUUCCUUGCAGGCUUCAGAGUAGUGGUUUAUCUCUUAUUUGCCUACAUACACACUGAUACCCACCCUCUUCAAGAAAAAUUUAUUCUCUUACUUUGGCUAUGGGAGAUGACAAGAGUGAUUAACAUGACCAGAGACUCUGCAUAUGACCUCUUCUUUUAUGGUGUACUCUGUGUCACGGAGGUUCAUUACAUUUGUGUUUCCUAAACUUACUUCACUCAAGGAAUGAACUUUUAAGAUGGAUGAAAACUCAGCAUAGCUGCUUUAAACAAAACCAUCCUGUGAUUUGUAAAUAAGAAGUGAUUAGAGAAACCUGCUGCAGAAAUCAGUCACAUUAAUCAGCUGGUUACAACAGACUGAUGAACAGCCACCAGAGCUGUCCAAACAAUUUUGUUAACCUUUAACAAAAAUGUGAAAGAAUAUGCUGCAAAGCAGUUCAGCUUUAAAUUGACAGGACAUGUGCCUUUUGGAGAAUACUGAAGUUUUAAGUUUAUUAUUUUAUUCAGAUUUUGCCAGAUAAACCAGUCCAUAAAAGAGCAAUUUAUAGCUAUAGUACUCCUUUCCACAAGUUCAUCACAGACUGUGAGCAAUAACAGCCAAAGGCAGCACAUACAACAUUUACUAGGCAUCAGAUCACAGCCAGGACUCCUUGAGGGAGGCUGAUGCUUAGCCAAUGCACAAAGCAAAAUGAAUCAUUAGAAAGUCUCUGAGGAGUUACUUCAGCAUUGCUUUCCCUCCUGCGUCACCAUUGGUCUUUUAGUUAUCAAAACCACCUUAGAACUGGAGAGCAGUCAGUACAACACAGUGCCCAGCAACUUGGUGCUUUCUGUUUGUUUUUCGUUUGUUUGUUUUUUUUACUUUGAAGCAUUUGAUUCAUGUUUUGAUAUAGGCUGGUGGAUUUCAGAUGACAGUUUCCAGAUUUCCUUCCACAACCACCAGAAAAAGAAAGCUAACUUACAGGAAGGUGAGGUGCGAGAGGGAGACAGACAGCAACCCCGCAAGCAGUCUUUAUCAAGUCAUUUUCUUCCACAAGCUGCAACACCAAAGUAGAUUGAUAAUAUCAUGCUUAUGUCAGUCAUAACAUACCUCUUAAAGCCUUUCAGAAGAAAAUCUUACCAGGAUGACCUUUCAACUAAAUUUGUUCACACCAAACACAAAUUCAUCCUCUCUGUAGCCAAGGAAAAUCUAUUAUUUCAGAUGCAGGAUAGCAGACACAAGCACUAGCAGUUCUCAAGAAGGAUGCACAUUUUAUUAGAUGGCAAGGAAUUUGGACAAAUUCAGUGAAAUGCACUUUAUUUUUCUUCACAUAAAUCUACUUCGUAAAUUAACAUCAAUCCUUUUUACACAGAGCAAAAUUCAACAUGGAGUCAGCUCUUACUGAAGAUUUCAUAGCUGGAAGGUGUGUGAUAAACUCUACUCUGUUACAAUAGCAUAUCUCAGUUAAACUCAGCAGGGACAUUUGUUUAAGUGACAGAAGAAUUUGAUGACAAUUCCUCUCACCGGGUACGCUGCGCUUAUUCUGUACAGCCAAUGAAUAAUAAAUCAACACAAAUUACACUGCUUUAUCACUAACGACCAUUUCCUGGUCAGCUAUACCACAGACUACAGACUCUCCCACAGGAGAAAAAUAACCCCCAGUGACAUAAAAUAGGAGUUAUUUAUAGCCUGCAGGGGAACAAUUGGGCUCUAACAUAUAAUUUGCAGUACUCUUUAUAUUCACAGUGAAUUUGGCCCUUAAAAUCUUUGGUUGUAUGAAGGCAUAAGCUGCUUUCAUCACUAAUGCAUGAACCUGCAAAGUAUUCAAACAUCAAUUAAAAUAAUUAGCUGCUAGGCAGCUCCCCAUGCCCCACAAGAAGCGCCUUGCACUUGACAACUGGGUCACAUGUACCUUGUUUCUUCACCACCUCUACUUUUCCCAGGCUUUUAACUGAGAAUGUAACUAUCUUAGGGUGCAAGCAGCUGAGGCUAAAGCAAAGCUCCGUGUUGGGACUGUGGCACUCCUCAGCAAGUUAGCCUUCUGACUAUCUCAAGACAGUUUAAAGCCAUUCCUGCUCUGAGAGGCGUGGGAGCACAGCACCUCAGGGCUGUCAGGGAGCCACGCAGAUGGAGAGAUGACUCAAAGAGGCACCAAUGCUGGUCAGGCUCCGAGUACUCUCAGUGCUCAGGAACCAAAGACCACAGUACUGUGCUGACUGUGUGAUUUUUUUAUUUUAUUUUAUUUUUUUUUUUUUUGCAUUUACCCAUAACUUAUUAUUAAGAAAUAAAGGAAAACAUCACAUUGAUGCAAACCAAGGCUAGCUCUCUGACUUCACAGGACUGACAAGAGCACAGAAUAAUGCAUUACACUGCCAUAGCUUUGCUCAAAUCAUCCAGUGUAUUCUUGCCCACAAAGGUUCAGCCCUGACAUGCAAAAUUCUUCAGAAAGAAGUGCAGAAAGCAUGGGGGAUGGAAGGAGGGAGGGAAAAUCGAGCCAGGAGAAGGGAGAACAAGCACCUCUAGGACACUUCUAUGCCAAUCUCCAUCCAACAAAGGCAGUAUGGGCUGCUGCAAGGUCCCACAUUAUCAGUGCAGAGAUCUGAGUGCAUCUAACAAUGCAAGCUGUGGGUGUCUGGCUAGAGCCUUCUCUCUUUGUGACUAAGGAGCUGCCUUUAUGGCUGGGUUGGCUUGCCCUGAAGGCUUCACAAAGCAUUGUAUAAUAAAGAUAACUGAAAUACAGACUGUGUCAACAGACACUUCCUUUGAGAGAGGUAAACAGGAGGACAGUACUUCGCUCAUCAAAAACAAUGAAAUGUACCUAUAGGGCACGCAAAGCCAGCCAAGAUCCUCUUGGGCUUUCUCUUUCCUUUUAAAAAGAAAAUAUUUAUUAUUUUUUCCUCAAAUUUAAUACUUGAAGAAGAAAAUACUGGGAACACCCACAAUGAUGUCAUAUCAGUUUCUCACUUCAGGUCAAGCACAGUGCAAGGGGAAGUAGGGGCUCAGCAGGGAUCCCACUCUGUUCCUCCUACCCACACAAAGGCAGCAAUGCCGUGUCCAGAAGAGAGGCCGUGUUCAGACUUGCCCACCAGCCUUGCCACAAGAAAAAAGAGUAUUAUAUAUAUGAAAAGGUAGACACGCCAGGAUGUGGAGUGUAUUUCCUAUACCACUGAGUCCAACAGUUCCAGAAAGGAGAUUAAUGUUCUUCUUUGGCCUAAAGACAGUGAUGGAAACAACCCGGGACAGGACAGCAAACAAACACUUGUGGGGAAGAUGUUUUCAGCCUUCCAGCUCAAAAAAAAAGCAACUAGAAGACAGUAUGGUAUGGCCUGGCAUAUUAGUAGCUACCAGGAUAGCCAAAGCAAAUGAACACAAAGACAGAGAAGGUAAAAACCAUUUCUUUCAAGUUUCUGUUUCUCUAACUGUGAAAUGGUAUCAUCCAUACAAUACCAUCCUCUAGUGUCUUCAUCAAAAUAUUUAUUUCUUAACUUUACCAUCCAUGCCACAUGCAUUUACAGCUUUUUCCACCAGAUCAGUCUGAUGCAGAACGCACUGGGGAACAGGCAGCAGCAGGGCUGUUUUGAGCUUGGCCAAGCACCUUUUCCUAGUAGAGAGCAGGAUGUGACUCGCACCCACUGCAAGACAAGCCAGAUCUUUACUUCUCCACAAAAUAGUGUUAGUCACAUUUUCUCUUAAGCUCUUCAGCUAUUUUCCUUGCACCAGGAGUCAUAGGUAAUGUCUCAACAGCACCUAUGAAGGUCGGGCUGCCACACAGUUAUGCCAAGCACCUGAGUUUGUGCCAUUCAGCUCCUUCAUGGCUCUGCUGCACACCUCCACCACUGUGAAGAAGUCUUAACAUGACCAAAAUGUACAGCGGGAAUAUCAAACUGCUGCUAACUGCAAAUUUUAAUUAGAGCAUUUGCCUCUGGUGCAAUGCAGUAAUAAAGAGAAAAUGGGUGCAUCUGCUUUCUUUUAAGGAUCUCUAUGCAGGCAGGUACAGGCAGACCUCAGCUUGCUGGCUCCCAGCUGGAAGCUGUGCGUUGCUUUGGAUGCAGCGCAGCACACAGUGCAUGAGGAAAUAGGCCCUACCGCUCAGCGCACCUAAGCUUGCCUAGAUGACUGCAAACAGAAAGGAGAAUUGUGCCCCUGCAGCAAGGGAGAAAAAAAAAAAUCCAGAUUUUUUUCUUUACAUCCAACACUUGUUCACACUUGUCCUAAGAAAAACAAGUUUGCCAGUAUUGCUCUGGUCUUCUCGCAGAGAUACACUUUUAGACAUUUUUUGGCUUGCUGUUCAUCAUAUUUAGGUCAUUUGCAGGUAUUAAGCUAUCAUCCGCACAUAGAUGAUAGCAAGUAUAACAGGAGAGUAAUAUUCAGAGAGGAUAAAUCACAGUGGGUAGUGGAUUAUAAUAAAGAACUGUCGAAGCCUGGCUGACCCUUUUAUCAGUGAGAGCCAGCUUUCGCUAACACCUUUAAAUUAGACUUUACCACAUUUGUUUUCUCCAACUGGCUAUUUUAAAACAGAAUCAGAAUGCAAUAACGGAACGUGAACAGGGACAUAAUAAGGUGUAAAGCCAACAGAAGUGUCUGUUCUUUUUAUUAGGAGGUUUACCAAGUGGCUAACCAGUCAACAAUCAAGUCACUAAUGAAAUAUAAUAAAAUCCGAGGCAUUUUUUCAGGACACUGGCAGUUUUAGGGUUGAGUAUUUUAUACCUCUGUUCUCUCAAAGAUCUUUUUUUCUACUCCUGUUGAGACAGUUUUAUCACAGAGGAAACCCAGAAAAAGCCAGAGACCACAGGAGAAGCAGCUCCUCUCUAGCACCCAGAACCACAAAAGGCACACAUCAGACUUCUCUCCUUGCUCCUGUUCCAACAGCUGGGCAGAAGCCAGGUGAUUUCCUGCUCUAGCCCAGAGGCAAGUAGCCUUCCUGCUCUGCCAGGAGGGCUGCUCUUCCCAGCAGAGAGCUACCAACUGGAAAUACCAACUCCAGCUUCCAGCAGGACCCAGCCAGCCCUUCCUCGUGGUCUGGAGAGCAGAUGCUCCCAGGGUGGACAGCUGCCUUAGACCACAGCAUGGAAUUUGGAUUUAGCAAACAGAAGACCAUAACAAAUGGCAUCAACUCAGCCUUCAGUGCCUUCAUUAAUGGUAAUGAAGAAAGAUGCUAAAGACAAAUAGAUAAAUAUUAAGGAGGAAGAACAUGUGUCACAUCAGUAAAUUCAUCAGUUAAUAUAAAUUAAUUUUAAAAAGCACCAACAGAAAAUAGCAUCCUUAGAUUGUAAUAAAGCAGAGAAUAUAAAUUCUAUAUAUCUUUGCCUUUUUUUCCUUGCCAGCAAAAUCAAGGGAGAACACAUAAAUCAACAACAUCACAGCUUUACACGCUGUCAAAAACCAAGAUAGAAUAUGAACAUAACCCAGCUUCAAGUGGAUCUGAAGAAACCGAAUGUUGUAGUCCAUAUGCCAGCUUUGUAAUUACUAAAACGCUGGACAUACCCUUGCUUCUGAGUACUGGCCUAGAUUAGCAAGUCACCUGAAAGUUUACAAUGGGAAAACUAUAUGGAUGUAUUCUUGUAGCUACAUGUGUACAGUAAUUAUGGCACAGGUAAGCAAUAACACACGCCUAAGGCAUCAAACUUGGUGAGGCAUGAGGCUUACGUGCAUAUCUACAGUUAUGACUUCAGACUUCAAAGCACUUCUACUGCUCAGACAAAAUCAGUAGCCUACUUUCUUGUAAAACACACACAAGGAUCUAUUACUAUAAAACACAUAUAGGUGCUUAUAUAACGUGAGAAUUAAAGUGUGGGUACCAGAACUGUGAAAGUGUAGGGAGGAUCCUACUUACAGUGUUUUCCUAUUUAAAGUGAGUUGACUUCAAAGUAGCAGACAAAAGUUAAUGCAGCAGUUAAGCUUUGAACCUGCCAGUUUCACUCUGAUGCCUGAAGUCAGGUGACUUACAGCAGGCCCCACUUCAAGCUUGUGCUCCCCUUGGAGAAGUGGAGACCAUUCUAAUACAUUACUCACUCAAGAGCUUUCAGACCUAUAAUCAAUCAAGAAAAAGCCGUCACAAGCGCAUAAUUAGUGUCUGUGAGCAUGGCAAUUUAUGACAAAAAUCAAUAAACAUUUCCCAUUUACAUGAUUUUUUCAAAAUAGGACCACGUUUUACAAAAAUACAUUUUUUUUCUGAAGAUUGGUUUUGAAUAGUAUCAGCUUCAAAGCAAAUGUUUCUGUGAGGGCUGUUAUAACAUUCGAGUUCUUACAUGAUCUUCAAGGAGGUAGUGUGACCUAGGAGGCAGCCAUAAUGAGACACAGACAGUGAAUAAAGCACUGAUUUAAUUAUGUUGUUUGAUAUAUUAUGACCUCAUCUGCUGGUGUUUAUACUAAUGUAGUGCUUGAAAUGCUUUAUCG
rnacentral:lncRNA from 1 species